UAGUCCACACCGUAAACGAUGAUAACUAGCUGUCCGGGCUCAUAGAGCUUGGGUGGCGCAGCUAACGCAUUAAGUACUCCGCCUGGGGACUACGGUCGCAAGACUAAAACUCAAAGGAAUAGACGGGGGUCCACACAAGCGGUGGAGCAUGUGGUUUAAUUCGAUAAUAAGCGGGGAACCUUACCAGGACUUGACAUCCUGAUCAUACGUUCUGGAAACAGAAUGGUCAGCUCGGCUGGAUCAGUGACAGGUGCUGCAUGGUUGUCGUCAGCUCGUGCCUUGAGGUGUGCGGUUAAGUCCGUAAACGAGCGCAACCCCUCUUUUAGUUGCCACCAUUUAGUUGGGCACUUUAAAAGAACUGCCAGUGAUAAGCUGGAGGAAGGUGGGGAUGACGUCAAGUCCUCAUGGCCCUUAUCGUGUUGGGGCUACACACGUGCUACAAUGGUACUU
rnacentral:rRNA from 1 species